rnacentral:rRNA from 1 species
AACGAACGCUGGCGGCAUGCCUAACACAUGCAAGUCGAACGAGACCUUCGGGUCUAGUGGCGCACGGGUGCGUAACGCGUGGGAACCUGCCCUUAGGUUCGGAAUAACUCCCCGAAAGGGGUGCUAAUACCGGAUAAUGUCUUCGGACCAAAGAUUUAUCGCCUUUGGAUGGGCCCGCGUUGGAUUAGCUAGUUGGUAGGGUAAAAGCCUACCAAGGCGACGAUCCAUAGCUGGUCUGAGAGGAUGAUCAGCCACACUGGGACUGAGACACGGCCCAGACUCCUACGGGAGGCAGCAGUGGGGAAUAGUGGACAAUGGGCGAAAGCCUGAUCCAGCAAUGCCGCGUGAGUGAUGAAGGCCUUAGGGUUGUAAAGCUCUUUUACCCGGGAUGAUAAUGACAGUACCAGGAGAAUAAGCUCCGGCUAACUCCG